rnacentral:misc_RNA from 1 species
UCUCCGUUGGUGAACCAGCGGAGGGAUCAUUACCGAGUGUAAAAACUCCCAAACCAUUGUGAACCUACCACUGUUGCUUCGGCGGCCUCGCCCCGGGCGCGUUCGCGCGGCCCGGACCCAGGCGUCCGCCGGAGGCUCCAAAAAUUCUAGCUGUUUUUGUACCAUCUGAGUCUUCCACAAAUAAACAAAACUUUCAACAACGGAUCUCUUGGUUCUG